CAUCUCAAAGACCUAAUCCACUGCCCUGUCUACUCACCGGUGGAGCCCCCUCAAACCGGCUUCAAAACCACACCCUUGAACCCUCUCACUCUCCUCUCUCUAAAUCUCAACACGGCUCUCCUCGAAUCCAUCUCAAUCUCUUCAAAUCUUGAAUCAAAACCCGGAAUCCUAAUUCCUUCCUCACCUCUGUCUCGUCCUUUAAAGGUCUGGUUUGAUUAUUCUCCAAGCUUGAAGGAUUUUUGACUUAAAACAUGUGUUAGGCGGGCUGUUCUCACAAGAACAACCUGAAUAACACUCGUUUUGGGUUCAAAUUGAAACAGCUAAAUAAUCUGUGCGAACCCAUCGUCCAUUCGUCCCUUCAGGUAUCUCCCAUUCUCGGACAUGUAAAAUGGAAGAACAAGAGUUUUAUUUGAUUAAGUGGCAAACUAUGUCAUACUAGCUUGUAAAUGUAGUUUCUUUUACUUCUAAAAAUCAAUCAGAUUUCAUAAUUAGCUUGGUCUCUUAUCACAUAUGUCUCUUCCUGGUUCAUUUUGAGUUUGUUUGUAGCUUUGGAGGAAAUUCUGAGUUUUAACCAAUUAGGAUAGAUGAGCUCAAGUUCUGUGUUUGUAUAAAUGGGUUGUAAGGCUAUUGUAACGAACUCGUGUGAUGUUUGUAGGUUUGGGGGGUAUUUGUUCAGUUUCUGCUACGACCAGUGCUAUUUUAGCAUUAA